rnacentral:lncRNA from 1 species
ACCUCUGGAAAUGGACGGCCCCGCGGCCAGGAGUGCGCACGCACCGGAGUCGGGAGCCCUUGGCUGGAGCGCGGGAGCUGGAAACUAUAUUCAGCAUCCUGUAAUAAACUCUAAAGGAAAAUAAGAAGAAAAAAUAGGAGUUCCUGUCCUGGCGCAGCGGAAACGAAUCCGACUAGGAACCAUGCCGGUUGGAUCCCUGGCCUCGCUCAGUGGGUUAAGGAUCCGGUGUUGCCGUGUGCUGUGCUGUAGGUCGCACAGGCGGCUCGGAUCCCGCGUUGCUGUGGCUGUGGUGUAGGCCGGCGGCUGUAACUCCGAUUAGAACUUCCGUAUGCCGCAGUGCGGCCCUAAAAAAAGCAAAACAAACAUAAAAGUAUAGAUCUGUACAUAUAUGUGUAUAACCGAAUCACUUUGCUGUAUACCUGAAACUAACACAAUAUUGUAAAUCAACUAUAAUUUUUUUUGAAAAAGCAAAAUACAAAUUUGUAUUUAGGAUGUGUAAAAGCUGCUUAUGAAUCGCAAGGACUGGCACUGAGAUUUGCAGGAUGUUUUAAUGCAUGAAGAAAUGGAAAGGAAAAUAGAAACAAGCGAUUUAUUGGGGUGCGAAAUUGCAGAAGUUUCCUGUUCAUUGUCAUUGUUAUUAUAAUAGGAUUGUGCAAUGCUUAACAAAUAAAAUGAUAUUGUUAUCACUUUCUAAACUCUGCAAACGUUCUCACCCUUUCCCUUGGUAACCUACGAUCCUGUGAGGGAGAUUAGACACGUUUACAAGUAGCCGCGAAGCUGGAAUACGACUGGGGCCAUAAAAUUGUUACAGAUAAAGCACUUUCCAAGUCUGAGCCCUGAUGGGCAAAGAAGUCCUUUGAAAUGCAAAUCUGUUUCCUGGUCUCUGGCUUCUGCUGUCCCUCUCAAGGGAAGUACAGUGGGUCUGCACCACCCUUUCCCAUGCCCGAGCUCCCUAAAAUCUCUCCCCAAGGAGAAACAUUUUAAAAUCAUACAAACAGAAAUAUCACCACACCUUAGUAGAUCUACACAGGAAAAAGUUAAAGCAGUGAAAGGGAUGGAUUCACUGACAGGGCCAACCUGAAAUUCUGACAAUAGGCCAGCUGAGUCCCUUCUCUUUCCCGGAUUGGUAGGACCUUAAAACAAACAGUGCUAAUAUCCAAGGGAAAAUCUUAUAACCACGCGAAGAAAAUGGGCUUAGGAGACUGGAGGUCAGGAUGCAAAGUAUGAAAAUCCAAAUUAAAAAGUUUAAAUUCACUAAAAUGACAAUAAAGAAGACAAUAGAGAGAGAGCAUGUCAAUUACGUAUUUAUUUCCUUGCUUUUAUUAGUAAUAACACUAAGCAAAUACAUUUCCUUUACUCUCCCUUUCUUCAGGGAGACACUUUACAGGAUCUCCUUCUUUGGCAAUUUAAGUAGACGGAAAUAGAUUUGUCUUGCUUUGUUGCAGAAUCUAUACAUACUGAGAGGCAAUUUUGCUUUGUCUGGUAUUCCAUACAUAUGUUUAAAGCUUUUUUUUUUUUUAAUCUGACUUUUGCUGUGUUGUUGCCAUUAUUAUAUAGCAUUAGCUCCCACUUCUGCAGACUCAGUAAUUUGGAUGCCUGCAAUUAAAUAAAUUUUUCAUAACCUUUAUUUGAACUCUCCAGAAUAACUAAAAUGGUUAUUAUUCAACUUCCAACAGUCCAUAGAGUGUUACAUAAGACCUAACUUACAGUGGACCUAAAAUUCUUGCCGUUCUUCCAAAAGGUACACAGAAAAAAAAAAUUUUUUAAAUCAUGUAUGCUAGAAUUUUGCAUAAAGAAAAACUGGAGGUUGGAGAGGAGUGUACAAUGUGCUUAAUGAAUUGAUUUUUAAAAGCCCUAGAGAUCUGGGAAAAGAAGGCAAAGUCUGGCCUCAAGGAACUGGAAUUCUCAACUUCCUUGAGUCUGGGUUACCUCAGCUUUUAAAUGGGAAUAAAAAUACUUGGCUCAUAGGUUUUCUGUGGCUUUAAGUGAGAUAAGACAAGUGCAAUCUCCUAAAAACACACAGUACACUGGUACAUAGGAGACUCUUGGUUGAAUCUGUCUGGGUGGGAUAGAGCAGGAUCAGGCAGGAUAAUGACAUGGAAGAAGUCUGCAGGGCAGAUUUGGGUUGCUGAGGAAGACAUGCUAAGGCAUGCAGCCAGAGGCCACCAGCUUGCCUGUGGUGUCUAUUAAAACCCUGCUCUAGGCAAAUACCUUAGGGGAAUUCCACCGCAAAAUUCUCCCUCUCUCUCUCUCUCUUUUUUUUUUUUUUUCAUCUUAAGAUGAAACCAGGAGUUUUUCUAUUUGGUGAGGGAGGAAUAGCAGGAAAAAAACCAGAGAAGCCACUGAUAUAAUGAAAAGAGGCCCAGCCUGGAAGUCAGCCACUGGUCCAGAGCUGUGUCAUCAGCUGUGCUGCAGCCCCAUGGGUUUAAUGGCUUUAUGCUUCAGUUUUCCCACUGGCUACGUGGAGAGAACAUCCCUUUAUUCCCCAGUGAAUUAAAAAGUAGGAAAGCUCCUGAAAUUACAGGGUUAUGCAAAGAUAAGUUGCUGCUAGUUCACAGCCUCAGCCAAAUGAGUAAAUGUGGCUGGAGGGGAAAAAGCCUGGAAACUGGAAAGUUCCAAGCAACUAGCGCUGAAAUAAUUGCUUCAGAAGAGGAAAGUUGUCUUCAAUGGCUGUUGACUGCCCUGAUUCCAAUACAAAUCACUGCUGCUGAUAAUGGCUUAGAAGAAAAGGUAAUCAAUCACCAUCAUUAUUAUCAUUUAUUUUGUGUUGAACAAAGGUGUGUAAAGAACUGCGAAAGGAAUCUGUAUCCCUGAAAAGGCAAAGAGGGUAGCUGGGAGAAACAGAGUUUAUAUUUAAAGGACAAAUAACAAGUGUGCAAGCGUGGAAGAGAAGAAAUGGCCCAGAUCUGAAGAGGAAGGUAAGACUUGGAUGUGCUCACCAAGGCACACUGUAAUUUGCCACAUCUUGUUCCAAAUUGUAUGUCUAUUAGUUUCUAGUUGAUUUUUAUGCCUUUUUUUUUAAAACAAUCUAUUUUGUAGAUUGUAAACACACUCUCUCCUCUCUAACUCAGUCACAGGUAGAAGAAGGUACUUUUGCUGCCUACCCCAUAAGAUCAAAAUCAAUACACACACCUCUUCUGGGAGAUACAGACCAGGAAACUACACACUGGGCAGGGAUUAUAAACCCAAACCUCCAAGAAGAAGUUAGGAGGGUGGGAGGUUUUUGGCUUUCAGACAAAGGCAUUUAGUGCCUUUUCCCUUACAUUUUCAAAUGUUCAUCUGUUUAUGAUACAUAUGUAUGUUUUAUCACAAUUUACAAAAAUACAUUAAUUUGCAAACUCAGUCAUAGAGGAUCUAAAGCCAUUUGCUUUUUCUGGGGUCCCUUCUGUGGCCCGAAUGCUGGAGUCUCUGGGGUUAGCAUUUCCCAAAUUUUUGACUGUGCUCCAUGGUAAAAUGUCCACUUUACAACUCAGUCCACAUGUGUGUGUAUGUGUAGGUGUGUGUGUGUGCGUAUAUUCACAUGAAACUAGCAAAACUUUUAUGAAAUGAUACCCUUGCUGUGUGCAAAGCAGUCUGGAAUUUUCUAUGUAAUUUUUUUAAUGCUGCUUUCAACCUAUUAAAUUGACUUCUCAGUGGGCUCUGACCUGUGAUUAAAAGCCCCCUCCUAAUCCACGCUUUUCUCAGAGCAUAAGUCCUUCUAGUGAACAGGACAAACGACUUGCUCCAAGUUUAAUAUCAACUCCCAAACUUUCUCCCUGUUACUUUGCCCAAUGUUUCAACUUGCUGCCACCCUGCCCUUCGGCAGAUAUUGAAUGAGGUUUUAUGAGUUGGGAGGCAGAGUUUAAAAACAUAGAUAAAGCCUUUUCAGAUGCUUUUCAGUACACCUCUCGGUGCAGCAAGUUAAGGAUCUGGCAUUGUCAGUAAAGUGGCCCAGGUCACUGCUGUGGCCUUGGGUCUGAUCCCUGGCAUGGAAACUUCCACGUGCCACAUGUGUGGCAAAAAAGUAAAAUAAAAUAAGAUAAAAAUGUUUUCAAACAUACUAUGGUUGAUGAUGGCAGAACUCUGCCAAGCCACACAGUAAGGCCUUAUAGCAACCAGUAUAGAAGCCACCCCAACCUACAUUCAGCUCUGAUCACAGCUCCUAUUUGACAAACCGUAUCUACUUUUUUUUACUUUGGAAUCCUAAGCCCAGGGCAGUCACUUUAGGACCAGAAUUGUAAAAUAAAAAUGUGGAGCUCUGCACACUGCAAUAGGAUAUGUUCCAGAGAAUGAAGGUGGACAGUCAGGUCAUAUAUUUGAGGUUGGUAUUAUUUUCCAUUUUAUUUUGCAUUUUUUCCCUUUAAAAUGUACUUGGAAACUUUAAGUUUCCUGUUCUAAUACUUCUGACUAAAUUAUUUUUUGUUUUCCCUGUGCCAAAAGGAAGCUUACACAGGAGAACAUGGAAGAAGAGCAAUCCAGGUUAUCAUGGUGGAAUUUGCCCCUACUUUAUAGCAAGUGGCAAAGAUUACUCAGGGUAGGGAAAGCAGAAUAUAUGAUUAAUUUUUAAAUUAAUUAUAAGAAUAUUUAUGCCAAUAAGUACAGCAGUCAAAGUAGGAGUGUUAAGCAGCAUAUAAGGUCCUAUUUAGCCUUAUCUGGGCAAAAUAGAUCUAGUUUCAUAAUAACGUUUCAAUUUUGGAAGUAACUUUAGCACAUGUACCAUCCAUGGCCUGUGACAGCUGUUCAAUAAACUUACGUUAAAAUCAUUUAAUAAAAUUCCUAGUUCCCGUCCUGGCUCAAUGGUUAACAAACCUGAUUAGUAUCCAUGAGGAUGCAGGUUCAAUCCCUGGCCUUGCUCAGUGGGUUAGGGAUCCAGCAUUGCCGUGAGCUGUGGUGUAGGUCACAGAUGAGGCUCAGAUCCUAUAUUGCUGUGGCUGUGGCUAUGGCCAGCAGCUACAGCUCCAAUUCGACCCCUAGCCUGAACUUCCAUAUGCUGCAGUUGCAGCCCUAAAAAGACACACACACACACACAUACACACACACAAAAUCCUGUAUUUUAUCCCAUCAAGUGGUUAUCUAGCUUCUCUUCAACCUUUCCAAGGAGAUCAAAUUUAUCACUUCCCAAACCAGAGUCUUGGAUAGUUCAAACCAGUAGAAAGUUUUCACCUAUGCUAUUCUGAAUUCUCUUUUCCUCUACUUUCAAUAAAUUGGUUAUUGUUUGAAGACCGCUCUCAUGUCCAAAACUCUACUUUCCUUCAAGCUAAAUACCCUAAUCCCUUCUAAGGGCUACCACAGGACCCAAUUCCACAUCUCCCCACCCACUGGUCACUUUUGGAAGCAUGGUUCGAUCCACCCCAGAUGGCCAAACAGAGGAAUGGAGCAGGGCCACCACUCCUCUGUUCUAGAGGCUACUGCCUUUACCAAUCCCAUCUGCCUGCCACCACACUUACUGCCUUGACAGCAACCGCACAUUGUCAACUCAUGCUGAGCUCUCAGCGGCAGGGUUCAGUUGGAACAGAUUGGCCUUUGGAGCAGAGAGACCUGGGUUCAAAAUCUGGUUUUGCUGUAUACUGGCUAAGUAUACUAGAAUUCCCUGGAUUUCUUUUCCAUGGAUGUUGUGACAUCCACAUACUGUUGCAGUCUGAUACUUUAAACAUAGACCAUCUUCCCCAAUUUAUCACUGGUCUAGUUAGUGAAUGAUAGGAAAGAAUCUAUUCUAUUUGGCUGGGAACGCCUUGAUGUGAGAGCUGAAUGACAGACAACAGCUAAGAUUUAUUGAGCAUCUACUGUGUUCUGGGAACAAUUGUAAUCCCUUUAGAGUAUUAGCUCAUGUGAUCCUCAUUACAAUCCUUAAGAAUUUUAUCUCCAUUGUCCAGGUGUGGAGACUGGCAUUAUACAGAGGGAAUUUGCCCCAAGUCACCUAGCUAAUUAGUGGUAACAACCAGAAUUCAAACCUAGGCAAUCUACCUUCUGAACCCAGCCCUAAACACCAUCACUGCACUGCAUCAUUACACAUCUAACCAUGACACAGAAUGACUGCAUAUGUAUAAGGCUCUAUAGACUUCUCCUCAAGGCGAAAUCAUUAUUAAAGAGGUUCUGGGAGUUCCCUGGUGGUCUAGUAGUUAGGAUUCAUUGUUUUGACUGCUGUGGCACAGAUUCAAUCCCUGGUCUAGAAACUCAAAUCUCACAUCAAGCCACUGCAUGCUGCAGCAAAAAAAUAAAAAAAUUAAAUAAAUAAUAAAAUAAAAAAAUAAUAAAGACGUUCAGAGACCAUCCAAGUGGAAUUAUUUGAGAAGAUUUGAAUAUUUGGGGAGGGUGGAUCCACUAAUUUUUCAUUUCAUGUUUAAUUUUAUUUCAAAAUUUGGAUUCAUAUUCAUGUUAAGGGGGAAAUCUCAAAUAAUUCUAAAAAUAAGACUUUGUGGCAUAACUAAUGCUCCAGAAAUCUAGGUACGUAUGUGACAGAGUUGCAGUGCAUUUAUAUCAUCCAUACAAGACAGCUGACUUAUUCUCAGAAUGUAUGUACCUUUGAUAAGUUACUGAAUAAAAGAAUUAACUAUAUU